rnacentral:lncRNA from 1 species
CUCCUAACGGAAGUGAGAUGGAAAACGCGAAUAAAGGAUUCUAACUUGGACGCGUACUGUGAUGGGAAAACGGGGGCCUAGGACAGAUGACAACAAGGGAGACUGCCUCAGACUGCUCAGGGAAGGCCCCCGAGGGAGCCCUGAGCUGAGAAGGGGCCAGACUGCCCAGUGCGGGGGCAGGGCAGCCCAGGAAGAGGGACUGCAUGUGCAAAGGCCGGGAGACAGGACGGAAGUAGGGGUACUUCAGGAAUCCCGAAGGGCUGGUGAGCUGUGGAGUAGCAGUGGACGGGAGAGAGCGAGGGGAGGAGUUCAGAAAAGCAGGGUUAUCUCUCUUUGCCCCUUGAUAGCUCUUCAGAUAUGGAAGCCACUUAUCACAGCGCAUCUCCCAGUCGGCUCCUGGCAAACAUCUCCAGAUGACCUCUCUGGCCAGGAGUUUGACCCUUGCUACGAGGGAAUCAAAGCUAAAAGCCAUUUCUUCACUUCUUCAUCGCCUUCCUCCUCCUCCCCUCCCCCCACCGGGUGGCACUGGAUCUGGCUGCACGCCUCGCAGCAAUCACUAAAAUGGGCUUUUAUUACUAAAAUUCA